rnacentral:tRNA from 1 species
GGCGUGUUGCCAGAGCGGUUAAUGGGUAAGACUUGAAUUAAUUUGGAUAUCUUAUGACUUCGGUCGCGCAGGUUCGAACCCUGCACACGUCGG